rnacentral:rRNA from 1 species
UACAGAGGUCCCAAGCGUUGUUCGGAUUCACUGGGCGUAAAGGGUGCGUAGGUGGCCAGGUAAGUUCGGUGUGAAAGCUCGGAGCUUAACUCCGAAAUGGCAUUGAAUACUAUCUGGCUGGAGGGUCGGAGGGGAGACUGGAAUUCUCGGUGUAGCAGUGAAAUGCGUAGAUAUCAGGAGGAACACCGGUGGCGAAAGCGCCUAUCUGGCCCAAUACUGACGCUGAUGCGCGAAAGCUAGGGGAGCAAACGGG